rnacentral:rRNA from 1 species
UACUCCUACGGGAGGCAGCAGUGGGGAAUAUUGGACAAUAGGCGAAAGCCUGAUCCAGCCAUGCCGCGUGUGUGAAGAAGGUCUUCGGAUUGUAAAGCACUUUAAGUUGGGAGGAAGGGCAGUAAGUUAAUACCUUGCUGUUUUGACGUUACCGACAGAAUAAGCACCGGCUAACUUCGUGCCAGCAGCCGCGGUAAUA